rnacentral:rRNA from 1 species
UACGGGGGGGGCAAGCGUUGUUCGGAAUUACUGGGCGUAAAGGGCGCGUAGGCGGUGCUCUAAGUCGGAUGUGAAAACUCUGGGCUCAACCCAGAGCCUGCAUCCGAAACUGGAGUGCUAGAGUUCUGGAGAGGGUAGCGGAAUUCCUGGUGUAGCGGUGAAAUGCGUAGAUAUCAGGAGGAACACCGGUGGCGAAGGCGGCUACCUGGACAGAAACUGACGCUGAGGCGCGAAAGCUAGGGGAGCAAACAGG